GACAGCCAGGAUGUUGGCUUAGAAGCAGCCAUCAUUUAAAGAAAGCGUAAUAGCUCACUGGUCGAGUCGGCCUGCGCGGAAGAUGUAACGGGGCUAAACCAUGCACCGAAGCUGCGGCAGCGACACUGUGUGUUGUUGGGUAGGGGAGCGUUCUGUAAGCCUGUGAAGGUGUACUGUGAGGUAUGCUGGAGGUAUCAGAAGUGCGAAUGCUGACAUAAGUAACGAUAAAGCGGGUGAAAAGCCCGCUCGCCGGAAGACCAAGGGUUCCUGUCCAACGUUAAUCGGGGCAGGGUGAGUCGACCCCUAAGG
rnacentral:rRNA from 1 species